AUAGUUUGUAGCAUAGAUAGGACCAUAGUUUGUAACAAAAUUUAGGCCCUGUUCGCUUGAUGAUGUCGGCCAUAAUAAAGCUGCAAAGAGACAUAUUUCCUCAUUUCCCUAUAAUUACAAUAACACUUGAUUUUUCUUUUUCGAUUUUUUCAAAAUUGUUUGACAAAACAUUUAGGACUAAUUCAUAUGAUAAUCCCAUGUUUCAUGGACCAAAUGGGACAUGCUUGUUGUGUAUGGGACGACGUCGUCUAACCCAACUAUAAUCCAUGGUAACAUAUUCUGAUUUCUUCCCUCCUUGAUGAUCAGUCCAUUUCUUGGGAUGCAUCAGAUUUUUCUCUUUUUGAUGUAAUUUGUUAC
rnacentral:lncRNA from 1 species